GAUGAACGCUAGCUACAGGCUUAACACAUGCAAGUCGAGGGGAAACGAUAUUGGAAGCUUGCUUCCGAUAGGCGUCGACCGGCGCACGGGUGAGUAACGCGUAUCCAACCUGCCCAUCACUUGGGGAUAACCUUGCGAAAGUAAGACUAAUACCCAAUGACGUCUCUAGAAGACAUCUGAAGGAGAUUAAAGAUUUAUCGGUGAUGGAUGGGGAUGCGUCUGAUUAGCUUGUUGGCGGGGUAACGGCCCACCAAGGCGACGAUCAGUAGGGGUUCUGAGAGGAAGGUCCCCCACAUUGGAACUGAGACACGGUCCAAACUCCUACGGGAGGCAGCAAGUGAGGAAUAUUGGGUCCAAUGGGCGAGAGCCUGAACCAGCCAAGUAGCGUGCAGGAUGACGGCCCUAUGGGUUGUAAACUGCUUUUAUAAGGGAAUAAAGU
rnacentral:rRNA from 1 species